UAUUAAAAAUUUUGUCCAAUUCUACUGUUAAAAAUUGACGUGACUGACAGAAUAACUAGACGAUUCUACAUGGCGUGCCACAUAUACUUCAUUCUGACAUAUAGAGAUCAUUUUUUAACAGUAGAAAUAGAUGAAAUUUUCAACA
rfam:Gossypium arboreum cultivar AKA8401 contig_47143_1, whole genome shotgun sequence.